rnacentral:tRNA from 1 species
AGGAUAAUAGUUAAUUAUAACAUUUAAUUUGCACUUAAAAAGUAUUGAUCAGUCAAUUUAUCUU